rnacentral:tRNA from 1 species
CGGGAUGUAGCCUAGAGGCCAGGGCGCCUGCUUUGGGAGCAGGAGAUCGGAGGUUCAAAUCCUCUCAUCCCGACGA